rnacentral:rRNA from 1 species
UACGUAGGGUGCAAGCGUUGUCCGGAAUUAUUGGGCGUAAAGAGCUCGUGAGCGGUUUGUCGCGUCUGCUGUGAAAACCUAAGGCUCAACCUUGGGCUUGCAGUGGGUACGGGCAGACUAGAGUGCGGUAGGGGUGACUGGAAUUCCCGGUGUAGCGGUGAAAUGCGCAGAUAUCGGGAAGAACACCCGUGGCGAAGGCGGCUCUCUGGGACGGUACUGACGCUGAGGCGACGAAAGCGUGGGGAGCGAACAGG